AUGCGAAAAGUAAUGUGAAUUGCAGAAUUCAGUGAAUCAUCGAAUCUUUGAACGCACAUUGCGCCCGCUGGAACUCCGGCGGGCACGCCUGUCCGAGCGUCAUUUCAACCCUCAGGCCCCCUCUCGGGGCGGGCCUGGUGUUGGGGCGCGGCCGCCUCCCGGCGGUCGUCCCCUAAAUGCAGUGGCGGUCACGCCGCAAUCCCUUGCGUAGUAAACACACCUCGCACCGGAGAGCGACGCGGUCCACGCCGUGAAACCCCCAAUUUUCAAUGGUUGACCUCGGAUCAGGUGGGAAUACCCGCUGAACUUAA
rnacentral:misc_RNA from 1 species